rnacentral:rRNA from 1 species
GUUCAUGCUGUCAACGAUGAGUGUUGCAUGUUGGGGACUUGAAAGACCUUAGUGUGCCAGCUAACGCGUUAAACACUCCGCCUGGGGAGUACGGCCGCAAGGCUAAAACUCAAAGGAAUUGACGGAAACUUCUACAAGCGGUGGAGCAUGUGGUUUAAUUUGAUGCGGAACGAAAAUCUUACCAAUUCUUUAAAUAUAGAAGUACAAAUUUUAGAAAAAGGAGUUUUCCGAUUUGAAUUGUAUUUAAAAGGGAGGAAUUCUAUAUGGAGUGUUGCAUGGCUGUCGU